GGAAGCUGCAGUGAGCAAAACGGAGUUUACUCCAAAGUAUACAUCCAGUAACCACCCUCUUUCUAUAGGCUGCCCUGCCCUCUUAAGACUAGUUACCUGGGAGAAAGUCCCAAUAAGGUGAACCACCGGUCCUGCGCAAAGGAAAGCGGGGAAAAGCGGUGGCGUUUGCCUCCCCUGUAAGGAAAUAGGAGAGGCUGUCAGAUUUGAAGAAUAUGACCUGAUACACCAUUGCUAGAGAGCAUGUCCCAUUGCGUUCACUUGAUCUUCCUGUUUUCCCUUCCUCAGUUCCAAUUGCUGGCUAUCGUUUAACCCCAUGACCGCUGAAUGGGAUACAAAGGGUUCAUUGUGAUUUGGCUCUGUCUCCGAGUAUUCAAGCAAAGAGAAGUCUUCACAAUGAAGAAAGUAUAAAGAUCCAGUUGUUACCCUUCAGUUCAGAAUGGGCAGAA